GACGAACGCUGGCGGCGUGCUUAACACAUGCAAGUCGAACGGUGAAGCUCCAGCUUGCUGGAGUGGAUCAGUGGCGAACGGGUGAGUAACACGUGAGCAACCUGCCCCUGACUCUGGAAUAAGCGCUGGAAACGGCGUCUAAUACUGGAUACGAGAAGGGUCCGCAUGGGCACUUUCUGGAAAGUUUUUCGGUUGGGGAUGGGCUCGCGGCCUAUCAGCUUGUUGGUGAGGUAAUGGCUCACCAAGGCGAUGACGGGUAGCCGGCCUGAGAGGGCGACCGGCCACACUGGGACUGAGACACGGCCCAGACUCCUACGGGAGGCAGCAGUGGGGAAUAUUGCACAAUGGGCGAAAGCCUGAUGCAGCGACGCCGCGUGAGGGAUGACGGCCUUCGGGUUGUAAACCUCUUUCAGCAGUGAAGAAGCGAAAGUGACGGUACCUGCAGAAGAAGCACCGGCUAACUACGUG
rnacentral:rRNA from 1 species